GUGAAUUUUAGAAUUUUAGAAAUGGACUAGAGGGGGAAAACAAAAGUAGGAAAAGUGCUGAGAUAAAAUAAAUAAAAAACAAAAAUAUUAUAAAUUCGGUAAAUUUUAGGGGGUUUUUGGUUAUCCUGACUGAUAUUACUGUUGUUGUUGCUGUUGUCGUUGUUGUCGCACGGCUCCUUCGUUCGCGAUCCACCGCAGACCACAGUCGGUACGUCUAGCCCAUCAUGUUGGCGCCGAACAUCAUGACAAAAAAAAGUGUGUUCUUUUUGUGUUUUGAGACCCACUCGGCGCGGACAGUUUGGGCUUACGAUGUCGUAUCAAUUCCACUGUUGAAUCGUAACUGUAGGACGACG